rnacentral:tRNA from 1 species
GGACCUGUAGCUCAGGCUGGAUAGAGCGACGGCCUUCUAAGCCGUAGGUCGGGGGUUCGAAUCCCUCCAGGUCCG